UACAGAGGUCUCGAGCGUUGUUCGGAUUCAUUGGGCGUAAAGGGUGCGUAGGUGGCGCUGUAAGUCGGGUGUGAAAUCCUGAGGCUUAACCUCGGAACUGCAUUCGAUACUGCGGUGCUUGAGGACUGGAGAGGAGACUGGAAUUCAUGGUGUAGCAGUGAAAUGCGUAGAGAUCAUGAGGAAGACCAGUGGCGAAGGCGGGUCUCUGGACAGUUCCUGACACUGAGGCACGAAGGCCAGGGGAGCAAACAGG
rnacentral:rRNA from 1 species